UCUUAACAGCCGUUUAAUUCU
rnacentral:piRNA from 1 species